GCUCCUGCCCACAGCGCAGGAUUCCCCACCGGAGACCCUCUCCCCGAUUUCCCUACCUGGUGUUCUUGUCCUCGCUCUUCUUUUCCAGGCCAAGGUGGUUACCCGGUUGCAGUGGGGAUUCACUGAGCAUUCCUUACCUGCCAGGUCCCAAAACCAGGGGCAGGAACAGUUUCCAGAACAACUCAACUGCCGGAUGCUGAGCUACCUCCCUCAGGUUCUCAAACCUAGGUGCAGAGAAUCACCAGGAGGGACUAUAAAAGCACUGAUUGCUGACCCCACCUCCUGAGCAGGUCUGGGACAGGCCUAGAACUUGCAUUGCUAGGAGGUCCUUGGAGGAUGCCAGCAUUGCUGUUACAGGAUCGCACUUUGAGACCCCGAGCCUCACAGGCCUUCAUAAUAAGGCUUCACAGACAUCGCCUACGGAUUCUUGCUUUGCGCACACUACCCAGUUUAAUCCCUCCUGCAGCCCAGGAGAGAUGUUGUCCUCAUUUUAGAGAUGAGGAGACCAAAGUACUGAGCAAUAAGGGCUGUCUCUAAGUUCCUAAAAGAGGAACUGGGAGUGGAGCAGGUCAGCCUAUUCCCGAAAAUCAAAGUCUGUGAUUCAGCCAAGCAGGUAUUCUACCCAGAAUGCGUUUAGCACUCUCCUGCCUCCCAACAGAUUGGUUUCCAGGAUUUUCUACUAUGACCAUCCCCUGUAAGGCUAAAAUACAUGCAGGGAUGCCUGGGAUCCGUUGAUUAGGAAAUCACAGCAGCCAGAGUGUUCCUGUGAAUUCAGUGGUGCUUUUAAAUGUUGUGUUUCUUAACCUGUCGACAGCAAUGGCAUUAUCUAUGAGUGUAAAUUAAAUAACUUACCUAGAGAGGAGCCUGGUGCACAGUGAACUUUCAGACCAGGUUUCUAGUAAUAGUAUUUCCUAGUGUUUAUUCCUCAUGAUUGACAACAUGCAUUGGGUCCAGACAGCGUGCCAGGUCCUUUACAUGCAUUAUUUUAUAAUUCACAUUAACCCCAAAUAGUAGGUACCCUGAUUUUCCCCACUUCCCACAGUAGGAAACCAAUGUGUAAGGAAGUUAGGCAGCUUGGUGUGCACAGCUGAAGCUGAGGCAUAGACGCCUGGCCCCACACACCACAGCCUCAGCUCUAACCCGUGACCUGAGGGCCUCCUCAGACCACUCCCUUCUCCGUCUAGCCAAAUCCUCGCCAGUACCUCAAGCUCAGCCCAGAAAGCAGCUCUUCCUCCUCCAGCGCUCACUCUAAGCCUCGCUCCUGUGCUGCCGAUCCCCCAUCUCACCUCGGCGAAGCCUUAGAAUGGAGCAGCAGAGCUGUGGAACUGAGCCUGCAUGUAACAAGUGCUGAGGGUCACAGAAGACUUGUGUCAACUGGAAAUAAAUGAUGGAAAUGGUGGUGAGCAAGAGGAAUUGUGUCAAACCAAGGAAACAAUUGUGAGAUGGGCGGGAAAAGCUCAGAGAGGGAAAAGCAUAGGGUCAGAGCUGAGUCUUAAUCUCUGUUGCACAAGGUGUUGAGCAGAUGCUCCUCUCUGCCCCUCAGUUUCCUAAUGCGUGAUAUUAGGGGACUGGAUGGAAAUGAUGGAAGGCCCCUUGGGGCCUUAGAGACUGAUUUAUGUAACCCUGGCCUCCGCCCUGUGACUGCUCAUACCUCUUAGCCGCAGUGAAAACGGGUGGCCACGAGCAGCGGGAGCUGGUGGAACAGGUAGAGUGCUGUAGAUUCAGCAGUAGGCCCAGCCCUUUAAAGGCCACCUUUGAGCCUGCGCAGAGGCUCGGAAUCCUUUUAACUGGUGAAUCGGUUGAAUUAAAAGGAAGCAGUUACUCUAGUGCAGAACAGGGUGGUGGGUGCGGGGUGCAGAAGUAGAUCAAAGGGCGGCAAAAGAAGUGGGCCAGAGGCAAGACAGACGUCCAGCCCGCCACCGGCUGUAGAUGCUGUCGCUUCUGGGAUGAAGAGUCUUAGCUCAGGUCUUCCACAGGGAGAUCCUGAGGCAAGGAUUUGGUUCAGGGAGUUGAUUUGAAAGAUGAUCCCAGGGAGCAAGUGAGGGACAGGAAAGUGAAGCGGGAUGGAGAGGAGUCAGUGAGUGGGCUGAUGCCCGGGUUCCCGCUGUGGGCAGCGGGGCCGGACCCAGCUGGCGAGACGAGCGAAUGUAGGUUUGCCUUCUCGUGUACCCGUGUUCAUGGGGGAGGUUUCUGUAAACACUUUUAAAAUAAACAAUAGUUUUUAAAUGCAGAGGAACUUGCCAUUUAUAGAAGGCCUGUUGAAAUCCUUUAUAAAAGAGAAUUACUGUCCCUUAACUUUUAUAAAUUUAUAUUUUAUAUAUCAGAAUUGCUUAAAUCAAGCUGAGCUGUGAAAAGCUCUUUACCUGAAAAAUCCUCAAGGGUCCUCAAAAGUGAGGUCAGAGGUAGCCCUCGCCUCAGAAAGCAAGACAGUCGCCACAGGAAGUGGCUGGGAGGAGCACAGGGAUGUUGAAUAGUUGUUAGGUGUGUCUCGUUCUGAUUGGUGGCUGGGCGACCGGAAUCAGAGGCCCUGCCAAGGAGAGGCCAGGGAAGGCCUCGUAGCUGAAGAGAGAACAGAUUUUAUUUAUACCUGAUCACAUCUUUGUGUCCUAGCCUGAGCAGGAAGUGACCUCAGAAGAGACCCGACUGUAGGCCUCCCUUACGUGCAGCCCUUUAACACGUCACAGCUGGAAUAAAGUCAUGACUUUGCAUUGAUGAGUCAGAUCCCAGCCGGGGUGCGUUGGAGCCCCACUGAAGAGUGCAGUCACAACCAAGUUUAUCAUUUUAAAAAUGAUCGAGGCGCAGUGCUCCGUCAGUGAUCCUGCAAGCCAGCCAGUCCUAUUGAUUUGUAGUGCUAUUGACUAUAUUGAUUCCAGCCUCAGAAUCUUCUCAAAUAUGCUCGCUAACAAAAGAAUAAGUGGUGACGUACCAACAAUAAACUAUGAACUGUAAAUGCCGUACUUAUGAAUUGCAAAGUUCGAGGCCUUUCUGUUCUUUUGAAUAGUUCUCACCACCCUGUUGUCCAUGUCUAUAUUCUGCACUCGGUGGCCAACUAAUUUAGAAAAUACAGUCAGGACCAGGUCAAGAGUCCAGCCAUGACACAUAGGUCCUGGGUUUGUCCUAACUGUUGGCUACAGACAGCUCCUUGAGAUUGGUGGGUAGCUGAGGCCGAGGGAGGUGCUGGGGGAGGGGAAGAGUUGGACAAGCAAGUAUGUCUGGAAACCCCACUCCUGGGAAUGCAGCUCAGUCACAGAAAGGCAGGACCACUCACUGCUGCUUUUAUUGCAUUAGGACUUACCACUACUAGCUGCCUUGCUUCUAAAAAUGUGUUCAUAUUAAAAUAGUUCUUGUGGAGAAGUGCUACACAAAAAUAGAUGACCUUUGGGACCCCAGCUUAGCUCUUCAGCAAUGGAGAGGAGAAGAUGCAGAGGAAGUGGGGUGCCAGUUGACGGCAACAGGACUGAAGAGCGAAUGACCCAAAUUUGGACUCAGUGUAAGCCCAACUUAUAAAUGUCACCACCCAUUUUGAAUUUUCCAGCAACUGGAAACAAGGCAGUCACUCAGAAAAGAGAACCAGUGGUCUAGGAAAAAUUGAAAAGGUAUUUUCCAUAACUUAAUUCUUUAUCCACAGCUGCAUAGAGUGGAUGAAGAACUAGAGUAUGUGUUGUGUUUCAGAAAUGUAGGGCUCCCUGGAGACGGUUCUGGGGCUUCCUGGACUUCCCAGGGAGGUCUAGGGAAUUAGUGUUAGGACUCCUGAGCUCAUGCCUAGCCCUCCCUACCUCCAUCACAUACGUUCAGCUCCUAUAUGUUUUAUAAAUUGGGGAUAUGAGUAAUAGUUUAUUAAAACAAGAUUACCACUGUUAAGAAAAGUUUGCAAACUACAAACUAACGUAUACUUAGAACCAAGAUUUCUAUGAUCACGUGACAGAGAUAUCUAAUAGAUAUAUUUGUGCUGCAUUCAAAAGUAAGUAGCACUUUAGGCAUUUUUUUAAUCUUUGCUAUGAUCUGAGUAGAAAAGUAGUAGUGAUGAGGGAGUGGGAACUAGGACACCUGGGCUCUGGAUUCAGUUCUCCCAGAAUCAGCACUGGCUCAAUGGUUAGAUCACCCAGCCUGGUGUCUUACGAAUUAGAAAGUAUUCACUAACUGCUGGUUCAUUAAUUACCAACUGUUCUUCCUUCUCACUUAGGCCUGAGGAUGAGCUGUGUCCUCGCUCCUGUCCAUUUAACUAUGACCGUGGUCUAUUAGGGUCUACUUGAUGGCCUGUUUUGGACUAAAUAACCUACCUCUUAUUUCUCACACAGCACAUUUGGGAGAGAAUUGAUGAGAAAAUAAAAAACAUUUUUUUAAUUCCUCAGAGUUAGAUACAAAAGACUGACCAAAAUAAUGAAAAGUAUAAUUAUAAAAUAGAGUUGGCCAACAGUAAUCUGGGCAACAUUGCUUAUUUUGAAAAUUCAAAGGAUGUUUAUAAAAAGUUUGUAAUAAUAUAGAAAUGUAUGUUGCAAUGUUAAUUGAAAAUACCACUAUACAAAACUGGCACGAGAUUAUAGUUGUGGCUACAUAAAUAUAAAAAGUACUCAUAGGAAAUUAGGGAAGAAAUACAUCAAAUUUUAGUAGCUUUUGGCUGACAAAACUGUGAGUUCUUUAUUUUUUCCCUUCAAGACAGGUGGUUCUACAAAUAAUCCGAAAUUUAUAUGGAACCACGAAAGACCCCAAAUAGCCACAGCAGUCUUGAGAAAGAACAAAGUU